ACAACAGAAGCACGUUCCUCUGUGCUUGGUCCGUGCGGAACACUGGUAUGCACAGAUUGAGCUGGGUUAAGGGUUAGGCUUUAGCUGAAAACGUCGAUGCUACUAGGGCGGCUGGGGUGGUUGCGGAAUUGCGAUUCAUUGUAGAGCAAGUAUGGAUGAACAACAUGUACGAUUCCAAGUUUCGAUAUGAAAUCCGAUUGCUUGACCGUUAUCAGGAAGAGGGGUUAGAUUUCCAAGCCAGAAACGCGUAGAACAUGUAUCCAUGGCUUGGACGUUGUUAUUUCAGACCUUAGUGAUUCUGGGAAUUCAGCAGAAUGUGUAUUCACAAGAUCAUGAGGACCUUCAUCGGUCGAGGUCGACCAUACACAUUCCGUUCUGGCUGCAACGUAGUCGAUAUCGAGAGCAACCUGUUGUCCAUGAAGCAGCAACCCCCACCCCCCGGACCACCACCACGCUCCAAGGACGAUCAAUCCAAAGUGCCUGCGGUGCGAUUGGUGAAGGGAGAUGGCUACUGUUCAGGAAGAGUGGAAAUAAACUACAAUGGAGAAUGGGGAACGGUCUGCGAUGAUGACUGGUCCUUGGAUGACGCGCAGGUUGUGUGCCGUCAACUGGGGUGUGGUGUUGCCGUGUCAACAGAAUCCUCUAGCAAAUUCGGGCCAGGUACAGGGAAGAUUCUGAUGGACAAUGUUGCCUGUAGCGGAACAGAAUCCUUCCUGUCGGCCUGUUCCUUCGGCGGCUGGGAAAACCACAAUUGCAAUCACAACGAAGAUGCUGGUGUUGUCUGCCAACCAGGUUUGAAAUUGAGACUGGUGGGCGGGAGCAAUCGCUGUUCCGGACGCCUGGAGGUCCGCUACAAUAACGAGUGGGGAACAAUUUGCGACGACGAUUGGUCAGCUGAAGACGCUGCAGUUGUUUGUCGACAGCUCGGCUGCGGUUUCCCCGCGACUGCGCACCCGGGAACGCACUACGGGCCAGGUCGUGGGACUAUCUGGAUGGACGAUGUUGCGUGCAAAGGGAAUGAAGAUUUUCUCUCAGCUUGCGCUUUCCGCGGAUGGGGAGUGAACAACUGCCAGCACGACGAAGAUGCAGGCGUGACCUGCCAGUCAGAUGCGGCCGUGCGGCUGGUAAACGGCAGCGACACCUGUUCAGGAAGAGUGGAGGUGUAUUACAAUGAGACAUGGGGAACAGUUUGCGACGACAGUUGGGGUCCAGAAGAGGCGAAGGUUGUCUGCAAUCAGAUGGGCUGCGGCUCUCGCGCAAAGGAGGUGUCAGGAGCGUACUUCGGGGAAGGUAGCGGGAAAAUUUGGAUGGACAAUGUCGCGUGCAGUGGAAGUGAAUCUUCUAUUGUGCAUUGUUCCUUCGCCGGAUGGGAAACCCAUGACUGCGCACACUAUGAAGAUGCUGCUGUGAUUUGUGAGGAAGAGUCGGCAGUGCGGCUGGUGAACGGUAGUGACACCUGUUCGGGAAGAGUGGAGGUUUAUUACGAUGGAGUGUGGGGGACCGUUUGCGACGACGAGUGGGGCCCUGAAGAGGCGAAGAUUGUCUGCAAACAGUUGGGCUGCGGCAGUCAUGCUACAGCAAAGUCGGGAGCGUACUUCGGGAAAGGUUGCGGGAACAUCUGGAUGGAUAAUGUGGCCUGCAGUGGAAUAGAAUCCUCUCUUGUGUACUGCUCCUUCGCCGGUUGGGGGAUCCAUGACUGCGGUCAUCAGGAAGAUGUAGCUGUGAUCUGUGAGGAAGAGGCGACGAUGAGGCUAGUGAACGGGAAGGACGUCUGUUCUGGAAGAGUGGAAGUCUAUUAUCAAGGGAAGUGGGGAACUAUUUGCGACAAUGGCUGGGAUGCUGAAGAUGCGAAGGUUGUUUGCAAACAGAUGGGUUGCGGCUCCCGAGCAACGGCAAUGUCGGAAGCCCACUUCGGGGAAGGCAGUGGGAAAAUCUGGAUGAGCAACGUCGCUUGCACUGGAAGCGAAUCUUCCUUUUUGGAUUGCUCUUUCUCGGGCUGGGGGAAUCACGGCUGCGGGCACGGGGAAGAUGCGGCUGUGAUCUGUGAGGAAGAGCUGGAUAUCAGACUAGUUGGUGGCAGCGAUCGUUGUUCCGGAAGAGUGGAGGUUAGCUACAAUGGACAGUGGGGAACGGUGUGCGACGACGGCUGGGACAUGAAUGACGCCAAGGUGGUUUGUAAUCAUCUGAAUUGCGGCGAUCCCGCCUCUGCACUUCCGGGAGCAUACUUCGGCCAAGGGAAGGGGAACAUUUGGAUAGACGACGUCAAAUGCGAUGGAAAUGAAUCUUCGCUUUGGGAAUGCUCCUUUUCACCGUGGGGGGAUAACAACUGCGGCCACGGGGAAGAUGCAGGAGUAAGAUGUAUAGAGGAGCUAGACAUCAGGCUGGCAGGUGGCAAUGAGCGUUGCUCUGGCAGAGUGGAGGUGAAUCAUAAUGGACAUUGGGGGACGGUUUGCGACGACGGCUGGGACGAGGAGGAUGCAAAGGUUGCUUGCAAGCAGUUGGGCUGCGGCUCUCGCGCUUCAGCUCUUUCGGGAGCGCGCUUCGGACAAGGGAGCGGGAAAAUCUUGAUGGACGACAUCGCGUGCAGCGGCAGCGAAUCGUUCCUUUGGGAAUGCGCCUUCCCGGGAUGGGAGGUUCACAACUGCGGUCACGAAAGUGAUGCAGGAGUGAACUGCACAGAAGAGAUGGAUAUAAGGGUAGUAGGUGGCAGCGAUCGUUGCUCAGGAAGAUUGGAGGUCAGUUAUAAUGGAGAAUGGGGGACCGUUUGCCACGAUGGCUGGGACAUGAAGGAUGCCAAAGUCGCGUGUAAACAGCUCGGUUGUGGCCCUCCCACUGCAGCACUCCGGAGCGCUCACUUCGGGCAAGGGAACGGGAAAAUCUGGAUGGACGAUGUCGCGUGUAAAGGAGAAGAGUUGUCCCUUUGGGAAUGCUCCUUCCCAGGAUGGGGUAUUAACAACUGCGGUCACGGAGAAGAUGCGGGAGUGAACUGCACGGAAGAGCGUGAUAUAAGACUGGUUGGUGGCAGUGACCAUUGUUCCGGUAGAGUAGAAGUGCAGCACGAUGGACAAUGGGGGACGGUGUGCGAUGAUGGUUGGGACACAGAAGACGCCAAGGUCGUUUGUAAUCAGCUUGGUUGCGGGUCUGGUGUAACAGCCCUUCAUAGUGCUUACUUCGGGCAAGGGAACGGGAACAUUUGGAUGGACGAUGUUGCGUGCAGUGGAAGUGAAUCUUCUCUUUCAGAAUGCACCUUUGCAGGAUGGGGUAAAAACAACUGCGGUCACGGGGAAGAUGCGGGAGUGAACUGUUCGGAAGAACUGCAUAUAAGACUUGUAGGUGUCAGCGAUCGCUGCUCGGGGAGAGUGGAAGUGCAGUACAAUCGACAGUGGGGAACAGUUUGUCACGACAGCUGGGACAAUGAAGACGCUGGGGUGGUCUGCAGGCAGCUGGGUUGCGGCUCACGCGCUGUAGCCCUUCCCGGUGCGCACUUCGGUGAAGGGAGCGGAAACGUUUGGAUGAACAAUGUUGCGUGCAAUGGCAACGAAUCUUCACUUUGGGAAUGCUCCUUCGCUGGAUGGGGAGUUAACAGUUGCGGCCACUGGGAAGAUGCUGGAGUAAACUGUACAGUAGAACUGGACAUAAGACUCGUUGGUGGCAGCGAUCGUUGUUCGGGAAGGGUGGAGGUGAAUUACAAUGGACAGUGGGGGACGGUGUGCGACCGAAACUGGGACACUGCAGACGCCCAAGUUGUUUGCAAUCAGCUGGGCUGCGGCGCUCGCUCAUCAGCAUUGCAGGGUGCCCACUUUGGACAAGGCAGCGACAACAUUUGGAUGACCGAUGUCGCCUGCAUUGGGAAUGAACUUUCCCUUUGGGAAUGUCCCUUCCCAGGAUGGGAGACUAACAACUGCGGCCACGAGAAAGAUGCAGGGGUGGAGUGUUUGGAUGAACUGGAUCUAAGGCUUGCGGAUGGCAGUGAUCGUUGCUCGGGAAGAGUGGAGGUGAAUUACAAUGGGCACUGGGGAGCAGUUUGUGGCGAUGGCUGGGACAAGGCGGACGCCCAAGUUGUCUGUAAGCAGUUGGGUUGCGGCCUUCGGGUGGCAGCUACAGUGAGCUCCAAUUUCGGGCAAGGCAGCGGGAAAAUUUGGAUGAACAAAGUUGCGUGUAAUGGAAGUGAAUCUUUCAUUUGGGAAUGUGCCUUCGAUGGAUGGGGGAUUAAAAACUGUGUUCACGGCGAAGAUGCGAGAGUCAACUGUACAGACGAACUAGAUCUACGGCUCGUAGGCGGCAGCAAUAAUUGUUCGGGAAGAGUGGAGCUGAACUACAAUGGACAAUGGGGGACGGUUUGCGACAGAGCCUGGGACGUGGAAGACGCCCGGGUCGUUUGCCAUCAGCUGAGUUGUGGUUCUGCCGCGUCGGUCUUUCGAGGAGCCCAUUUCGGGCAAGGGAGCGGAAAAACCUGGGUGGACGAUGUUGUGUGCACAGGCACCGAAUCUGCCCUUUGGGAGUGCGCCUUCACGGGAUGGGGGAUUGACAACUGCGGUCACGAAAGGGAUGCGGGAGUGAAGUGCGAAGACGAGCUCAGUGUCAGGCUAGUAGAAGGCGAUGGAUAUUGUUCGGGACGAGUGGAGUUGUACUACAAUGGAAAAUGGGGGACUGUAUGCCACGACGGUUGGGACAUGGAGGUCGCUAAGGUUGUUUGCAAGCAACUUGGUUGCGGCUCUCCCAUCUCAGUACUACCGGGAGCACACUUCGGGCAAGGGAGUGGUGUAAUAUGGAUGGACGACCUCGCGUGCAGUGGGAAUGAAUCUUUCCUGUGGGAAUGCUCCUUUUCUGGAUGGGGGAUUCACAACUGCAAACACUGGGAAGAUGUAGCAGUCAACUGUACGGAUGAGCAAAUACGACUAGUUGGUGGCAACGAUCGCUGCUCAGGAAGAGUGGAGGUCAAGCACAACGGGCAGUGGGGGACGAUGUGCGACGAUGGCUGGGACAAUGAAGACGCCAAGGUGCUUUGCAGUCAGCUGCGUUGUGGUGCUCCUACCUCGGUUCUUUCGGGAGCACACUUCGGGCAAGGGAGCGGCAAAAUCUGGAUGGACGAUGUGGCGUGCCAGGGAAACGAACUUUUCCUCUGGGACUGCGCCUUCCCGGGAUGGGAGAGUCACAACUGCGGUCACGGGGAAGAUGCCGGUGUGAUCUGUGCGAGGAAUUGACAUAAUUUCGCUUAAGGGGAUGGAUCAGAUUUUCCCCGUACUACAGUGACAACGUUUCAAAAACCUAAACGGUGUGUACUACAAUUUUCGGGAUUGAGCAUUCAAUAACCCCUUUGCAAUGCACCGGUCUCCUGUAAACACUGUCAACCGCCAGGACUUUGAAACCUGCUUGUGUUUCGUUGAGCAUGAGGCUUAAUGUCCAACAAAUUCAACAAGUCUAUAGUAAAUUUUCCUGUGCCAGCUGCCUAAUCGUUCCAACGAAAGGAAGAUAUGCCUCGGAUGGUAAGGGUCCUUAAAUGAUGAAUGCUGUCUUCCUUAGGCACCGCUUCUUUAACAUGUCUUUGAUAGCGGGGAUGGAUGUGCCUGAGAUGGAGUUGUGCGAGUCUAGAAUCCUUUGCAUAUUC